AACGAACGCUGGCGGCAUGCCUAACACAUGCAAGUCGAACGAGACCUUCGGGUCUAGUGGCGCACGGGUGCGUAACGCGUGGGAACCUGCCCUUAGGUUCGGAAUAACUCCCCGAAAGGGGUGCUAAUACCGGAUAAUGUCUUCGGACCAAAGGUUUAUCGCCUUUGGAUGGGCCCGCGUUGGAUUAGCUAGUUGGUAGGGUAAAAGCCUACCAAGGCGACGAUCCAUAGCUGGUCUGAGAGGAUGGGCAGCGACACUGGGACUGGGACACGGCCCAGACUCCUACGGGAGGCAGGAGAGGGGAAUAUUGGAAAAUGGGCGAAAGCCAGAUCGAGCAAUGACGGGUGAGUGAUGAAGGCCUUGGGGUUGUAAAGCUCUUUUACCCGGGAUGAUAAUGACGGUACCGGGAGAAUAAGCACCGGCUAACUCCGUG
rnacentral:rRNA from 1 species